ensembl:misc_RNA Metazoa_SRP Metazoan signal recognition particle RNA
GCUGGGUAUGGUGGUGCAUGCCUGCAUUCCUAGCUACUCAGAAGGCUGAGGCAGGAGGAUUGCUUGAGCCCAGGAGUUUGAGGCUGCAGUGAGCCGUGAUUGCACCACUGCACUCCAGCCUGGGCAACAGAGCAAGAUCCUGUCUCUA